rnacentral:rRNA from 1 species
UACGUAGGGGCCGAGCGUUGUCCGGAAUUAUUGGGCGUAAAGAGCUCGUAGGUGGUUUGUCGCGUUGUUCGUGAAAACCUGAGGCUUAACCUUGGGCGUGCGGGCGAUACGGGCAGACUGGAGUACUGCAGGGGAGACUGGAAUUCCUGGUGUAGCGGUGGAAUGCGCAGAUAUCAGGAGGAACACCGGUGGCGAAGGCGGGUCUCUGGGCAGUAACUGACGCUGAGGAGCGAAAGCGUGGGGAGCGAACAGG